rnacentral:sRNA from 12 species
UUUACUUACAGGUUUAAGAACACUGUUAAAUCAAGUGGGUAAGAGAUUGAUUAAUUAAGCGUAUGUAAAGUACGUCUCCCCACUUGGAAAGGUCUUGUUAUCAUAACAAGACCUUUUUUUGAUUA